AUGUUCUCUGUAGCUCUGAUGCUGCUGCUGACAGCUGGAUCAUGUGUCCUCAGUAUUGAUCUUAUCCAGCCAGACUCCAAGGUUGUGCAGCCUGGACAGUCUUUAACCAUCGUCUGUCGGCCCUCCGGUUAUUCUGUGACUGAUAACAGCUAUGCAACAGGUUGGAUCAGACAACGUGAAGGAAAACCAAUGGAGUGGAUUUUCCAUCAGUGGGGUGGUGGGAGCUUUUACCAAAAUGAUGCCCUGAAGAACAAGUUCACCUACAGCAGAGACACUUCUGCUGGAACAGUAACAAUAACAGGACAGAAYCUGCAGCCUGARGAYGCAGCUGUUUAUUACUGUGUGAGAAGAGACACAGUGACACAAACCACAUGGAAGCCUGAACAAAAACCAGUCAACCAUCAGGAUAAUGUUACUGAAAGCCUGCUGUGCAUGCAUGUGAAUAGAGUCAAUUAG